rnacentral:lncRNA from 1 species
UCGGCCCUGGUGUGUGCUUGCGGCUUAGCUGUGUGCUGCCGCCCUGAGAUGCAGCUCUCCGUCAUGUGCCACUCUGCCUUAUAAGCUGCCAAGUAUGGACUCAAACCUCCACGAACUGUAAGCGAAAUAAACUUUUCCUUCCUUAAUUUUGGGCAUCAGGUAUUUUGUCCCAGCAGCAAGAGAAAAGUAACCAAGACAGUGUUGAACCUGUCUUUUCCUGUUGGUUUCUUCAUGUGCUUUGAGCACGACACAGAUACAUUUGCACCAUUUUUCUAAUGCGUGUUCUUUCACUAGGCUGUUUUGGUCCCUCUCCCAUGCACGACAUGCUUUUAAAGUGAAGAGUGAGGCUCCAGUAGACAAGACAGCCUGUGAGGGAGAACAUGAAGCUGCAGGCAUCAGGCGGAGCAAGGAGCUGAGUGCAUCUAUGGGCACUGAAAUCCAGCCAGGAACAACGGGACGUAGCCUUUGCCCCCUUGGCAUCUUCAAUAUUGCAAGGAAGACAAAUUAAAUUAGUUGGAAGACUGGAGUGUAUAAUUAAGUCAAACUAUGAGGAAAU